UACCAGCUCUCCGAGUGGUAGGGAUGAUUAUUGGGCUUAAAGCGUCCGUAGCCGGCUUAGCAAGUCUCCUGUUAAAUUCAGCGACCUAAUCGUUGAGCCGCGGGAGAUACUACUAGGCUAGGAGGCGGGAGAGGUCGACGGUACUUCUGGGGUAGGGGUGAAAUCCUAUAAUCCCGGGAGGACCACCAGUGGCGAAGGCUGUCGACUAGAACGCGCUCGACGGUGAGGGACGAAAGCUGGGGGAGCGAACCGGAUUAGAUACCCGGGUAGUCCCAGCUGUAAACGAUGCGGGCUAGGUGUUGGGGUGGCUACGUGCCACUUCAGUGCCGCAGGGAAGCCAUUAAGCCCGCCGCCUGGGAGUACGGCCGCAAGGCUGAAACUUAAAGGAAUUGGCGGGGGAGCACCACAAGGCGUGAAGCUUGCGGUUC
rnacentral:rRNA from 1 species